UACGAAGGGGGCUAGCGUUGCUCGGAAUCACUGGGCGUAAAGGGUGCGUAGGCGGGUCUUUAAGUCAGGGGUGAAAUCCUGGAGCUCAACUCCAGAACUGCCUUUGAUACUGAGGAUCUUGAGUUCGGGAGAGGUGAGUGGAACUGCGAGUGUAGAGGUGAAAUUCGUAGAUAUUCGCAAGAACACCAGUGGCGAAGGCGGCUCAUCUGCCCGAUACUGACGCUGAGGCACGAAAGCGUGGGGAGCAAACAGG
rnacentral:rRNA from 1 species